rnacentral:rRNA from 1 species
UCCGGCGGCUAUGACAAAGAGGCCACACCUGUUCCCAUCCCGAACACAGCCGUUAAGCUCUUUUGUGUCGACAAUACUUGGCUGGCAACGGCCCGGGAAGAUAGAUCGCUGCCGGAU